ACAAGAUUUUAAUUUAAUAUUUGCGAUACUACGAUAGGGCUGCAAUAAAAUUCAUUAGUUUGCAACCAGACAUGAAGUGUUUACAGGAUAUGAAAAAUGCCUUGAUACAUUUGUUUUUACUGGUAUUAAUCAGCAUGAUGAUAUUUUCUUCAACGACCGAAGCAGUCUGUUGUUGCGGAUUUGUAGUUAAGCCUUGUGGAAGUUAUUGUAGAAACUUCAGAAUGGGAGUUGCCAGGUCUUGCUCCUGGUUGGAUGCGUAUUUUAAAUAAACGUUAGCUUUUUGGAGAAGAGAUGAGUUUGUUUUAGAAUUGUGAAAAACUGUUUAUUUGAGUGAACAGAAAAAUAAAAUCAU